rnacentral:lncRNA from 1 species
GUGGGAUCCAUCUCACUUCCGCCUGUCCCCAAGCCCCUGUCCCCAAGCCUUGCGCCAGCACAGGCAGACAGAGCCAGGCUUCAUCACGAGUGGCAGGAGAGAGGGACCAGAUCUGAGGUGCAAGCAGGUUCCUGAGAUCUCAGGAGACUCUACUGUCUCGUGGGGACACGGGGCCUAGAGGAGACGGGGAAUUUGUCCCCUCUGCAGACCAUCUGUGCUCUACUCGGGCCUUCCUGUGCCCAGGGGAACAGGCCCUACACCGUGUGGCAAAGCCUGUGGCCAG